rnacentral:rRNA from 1 species
CUGCGCUGCAAGUGGUGAUCACGAUUAUUGGGCCUAAAGCGUCCGUAGUUGGUCGAGUAAGUCUUCUGUGAAAUUGUAACGCACAACGUUACAGAUUGCAAAAGAUACUGCUUGACUUGGGACCGGAGAGAAGUUAGGGGUAUUCGUAGAGGAGCGGUAAAAUGUGAUAAUCCUACGAAGACCACCUGUGGCGAAGGCGCCUAACUAGAACGGCUCCGACAAUGAGGGACGAAAGCCAGGGGAGCGAAACGGAUUAGAUACCCGUGUAGUCC